rnacentral:rRNA from 1 species
UACGUAGGGGGCUAGCGUUGUCCGGAAUCAUUGGGCGUAAAGCGCGCGUAGGCGGCCAGAUAAGUCCGGUGUGAAAGUCAAAGGCUCAACCUUUGAAUGCCGCUGGAAACUGUCUGGCUUGAGUACUGCAGGGGAGACUGGAAUUCCUGGUGUAGCGGUGAAAUGCGCAGAUAUCAGGAGGAACACCGGUGGCGAAGGCGGGUCUCUGGGCAGUAACUGACGCUGAGGAGCGAAAGCGUGGGUAGCAAACAGG